rnacentral:misc_RNA from 1 species
GAAAUGCGAUAAGUAGUGUGAAUUGCAGAAUUCAGUGAAUCAUCGAAUCUUUGAACGCACAUUGCGCCCUUUGGUAUUCCUUAGGGCAUGCCUGUUCGAGCGUCAUUUAAACCUUCAAGCUCAGCUUGGUGAUGGGUGACUGUCCCCUCCUCGCGGGGGGACUCGCCUCAAAAACAUUGGCGGCCGGUACAUUGGCUUCGAGCGCAGCAGAAACGCGGUCUCGAGCCCGGUGGAUCGGCUCCCACAAGCCUAUUCUUUUAUUUUGACCUCGGAUCAGGUAGGGAUACCCGCUGAACUUAAGC